rnacentral:rRNA from 1 species
GGAGCGACAGCUACCAUGCAGUCGUACAGGUAGCCGUAAACUGCUCCUGGGUGAGAGCGGGGAGGGUGAGUAAUGUCUGGGAAACUGCCUGAUGGAGGGGGAUAACUACUGGAAACGGUAGCUAAUACCGCAUAACGUCGCAAGACCAAAGAGGGGGACCUUCGGGCCUCUUGCCAUCAGAUGUGCCCAGAUGGGAUUAGCUAGUAGGUGGGGUAAUGGCUCACCUAGGCGACGAUCCCUAGCUGGUCUGAGAGGAUGACCAGCCACACUGGAACUGAGACACGGUCCAGACUCCUACGGGAGGCAGCAGUGGGGAAAAGGCAAAAACGGGCGCAAGCCUACGCAACCAUGCCACAAGUGUGAAGAAGGCCUCGGGUCGUAAAGCACUUCAAGCAAGAAGGAAGGUAGACAACUAAAUACGCUCAUCAUUGAAGUUACUGAAGAAGAAGCACCGGCUAACUACGUGCCAGCAGCGCGGUAAUACGGAGGGUCCAAGCGUUAAUCGGAAUUAUGGGCGUAAAGCGCACGCAGGCGGGUUGACAAGUCAGAUGAGAAAUCCCCGAGCUCAACCUGGGAACUGCAUCUGAAACUGACAAGCUAGAGUCUCGUAGAGGGGGGUAGAAUUCCAGGUGUAGCGGUGAAAUGCGUAGAGAUCUGGAGGAAUACCGGUGGCGAAGGCGGCCCCCUGGACGAAGACUGACGCUCAGGUGCGAAAGCGUGGGGAGCAAACAGGAUUAGAUACCCUGGUAGUCCACGCUGUAAACGAUGUCGAUUUGAAGGUUGUGCCCUUGAGGCGUGCUUCCGGAGCUAACGCGUUAAAUCGACCGCCUGAGGAGUACGGCCGCAAGGUUAAAACUCAAAUGAAUUGACCGGGGCCCGCACAAACGGUGGAGCAUGUGGUUUAAUUCGAUGCAACGCGAAGAACCUUACCUACUCUUGACAUCCAAAGAACCUUCCAGAAAUGGAUUGGUGCCUUCGGAAACUCUGAGACAGGGCGGCAAAGCAGUCAUCAGCUCGUGUUGUGAAAUGUUGGGUUAAGUCCCGCAACGAGCGCAACCCUUAUCCUUUGUUGCCAGCGGUUCGGCCGGGAACUCAAAGGAGACUGCCAGUGAUAAACUGGAGGAAGGUGGGGAUGACGUCAAGUCAUCAUGGCCCUUACGAGUAGGGCUACACACGUGCUACAAUGGCGUAUACAAAGAGAAGCGACCUCGCGAGAGCAAGCGGACCUCAUAAAGUACGUCGUAGUCCGGAUUGGAGUCUGCAACUCGACUCCAUGAAGUCGGAAUCGCUAGUAAUCGUAGAUCAGAAUGCUACGGUGAAUACGUUCCCGGGCCUUGUACACACCGCCCGUCACUCCAUGGGAGUGGGUGUCAAAAGAAGCGAGAGUUUGAUCAUGGCUCAGAUGAACGUAGAGAGCUGCCCUUUGAA